GUAGGGCGGGACACGUGGUAUCCUGUCUGAAUAUGGGGGGACCAUCCUCCAAGGCUAAAUACUCCUGACUGACCGAUAGUGAACCAGUACCGUGAGGGAAAGGCGAAAAGAACCCCGGCGAGGGGAGUGAAAAAGAACCUGAAACCGUGUACGUACAAGCAGUGGGAGCACAGAGCAAUCUGUGUGACUGCGUACCUUUUGUAUAAUGGGUCAGCGACUUAUAUUCUGUAGCAAGGUUAACCGAAUAGGGGAGCCGAAGGGAAACCGAGUCUUAACUGGGCGUUAAGUUGCAGGGUAUAGACCCGAAACCCGGUGAUCUAGCCAUGGGCAGGUUGAAGGUUGGGUAACACUAACUGGAGGACCGAACCGACUAAUGUUGAAAAAUUAGCGGAUGACUUGUGGCUGGGGGUGAAAGGCCAAUCAAACCGGGAGAUAGCUGGUUCUCCCCGAAAGCUAUUUAGGUAGCGCCUCGUGAAUUCAUCUCCGGGGGUAGAGCACUGUUUCGGCAAGGGGGUCAUCCCGACUUACCAACCCGAUGCAAACUGCGAAUACCGGAGAAUGUUAUCACGGGAGACACACGGCGGGUGCUAACGUCCGUCGUGAAGAGGGAAACAACCCAGACCGCCAGCUAAGGUCCCAAAGUCAUGGUUAAGUGGGAAACGAUGUGGGAAGGCCCAGACAGCCAGGAUGUUGGCUUAGAAGCAGCCAUCAUUUAAAGAAAGCGUAAUAGCUCACUGGUCGAGUCGGCCUGCGCGGAAGAUGUAACGGGGCUAAACCAUGCACCGAAGCUGCGGCAGCGACGCUUAUGCGUUGUUGG
rnacentral:rRNA from 1 species